GUUGAACGCUGGCGGCGUGCCUAAUACAUGCAAGUCGAGCGAACAGAUGAGGAGCUUGCUCCUCUGACGUUAGCGGCGGACGGGUGAGUAACACGUGGAUAACCUACCUAUAAGACUGGGAUAACUUCGGGAAACCGGAGCUAAUACCGGAUAAUAUAUUGAACCGCAUGGUUCAAUAGUGAAAGACGGUUUUGCUGUCACUUAUAGAUGGAUCCGCGCCGCAUUAGCUAGUUGGUAAGGUAACGGCUUACCAAGGCGACGAUGCGUAGCCGACCUGAGAGGGUGAUCAGCCACACUGGAACUGAGACACGGUCCAGACUCCUACGGGAGGCAGCAGUAGGGAAUCUUCCGCAAUGGGCGAAAGCCUGACGGAGCAACGCCGCGUGAGUGAUGAAGGUCUUCGGAUCGUAAAACUCUGUUAUUAGGGAAGAACAAAUGUGUAAGUAACUAUGCACGUCUUGACGGUACCUAAUCAGAAAGCCACGGCUAACUACGUG
rnacentral:rRNA from 1 species